rnacentral:misc_RNA from 1 species
CCCCAUCGGUCAUCACAGAGAUGGGGAAGAACUUAUUUUAUAAAAUCUGCAGGUUUAAUGUGGUUAGAUUUCAAGUAAGCACUUCUGAUAUAUAGACUGGAAGCUGCAAUUUCAGUCGCUCUCACCUGCAGCUGGAGUAUUCCAUUAUAUACCCUUGUAUUUCUGUCUAAACUUGGAGGAGGCAUUUUACAUUCAACUGAUUCAAAUCCCUGAUGGAUCGGAGGUGGUCAGGGUUCUUCAUCUUCAGGUAUCAGUAAAAGAGAAAUCUAUAGGCUUUCAAUUGUUCAGCAGCAUGGAUAUAGAUCUUCGUCUGCCUUCUCAAGACCAUGACAAGGAAGAAGAAGAAGAGGAACAAAAUGGAAUUAUAAAUAUGCUUGACAAUGAAGAAAAAAUACAUGGUGAUGACGGAAUGCAUGGGAUGUUGGUUAUUGAAGAGAAGAUGCAUGCAGAAGAUAGAGGGGAUAUGAACACUCCCGUAGGAACUAUGAUAGACUUUAAGGAGGAUGUGAACCUUGAACCGCUGGCUGGCAUGGAAUUUGAGUCACAUGGUGAGGCUUAUGCCUUUUAUCAAGAGUAUGCUCGGUCGAUGGGAUUCAAUACAGCCAUACAAAACAGCCGUCGCUCAAAGACGUCAAGGGAAUUCAUUGAUGCAAAAUUCGCAUGUUCUAGAUAUGGAACUAAACGGGAAUAUGAGAAGUCUGCAAAUCGGCCACGUAGUAGGCAAGGAAACAAACAGGAUCCAGAAAAUGCUACUGGUCGGCGAGCAUGUGCAAAGACAGAUUGCAAAGCAAGUAU